ensembl:lincRNA
GAGGGGAGAGGGGCAGGAGUGGGGAGGGGAGGAAGGGCGCAGCUGCUGCCCUUCGGGCCAAGGACGGCUGCAGUAGCAGACUUUGGGAUGUCAUGUUGCCCAGUCCUGUCUGCUGCUGGAAUAGUCCCUGUGGGGUAGACAGAAUAAAGCCCCUCCCUAAAGGGGCCCACAUCCCAUCCCCAGAACCUGUGGACGUAGGUGUCCCCCUGCCUGGGUGGCAGGACAAGAGACCCGGAGGCGCAGAGUGGCCCCUAACACAGCUGGAUGUCUGCGCUCAGCGCAUGUCUGCCUGCAGGACUUCUCAGAGCCUUUCUGAGGCCAGGGCCGGCGUGCACCGUGGGUCCCAGAGCCCAGCCUCUGCUCACCCACACCUCACCACCCUGGCACACACAGGCUCACAGCAUCUGCGUGGAGAGCUUAGAGGAGAGGGUGAAUGGAAGGGAGGCCCAUGAAGCAGAACCUGGUGUGAAAUGCCUAUGGUGGGGGGAGGACCAUGAGGUCCCCUGGUGCCAGACCUCAGUCACCAGACCCUCAAAUGUCCACAUAGGCACAGGCCUAUGCACCCACACACACAUGCACGCACAUGAGCACGCACGCACAGCAAAGCAAAUGUGCGCACAUCACAAUAACGGCAGUGGGAAAACCGCCCCGACAGCUCAUAAAGUGAUAUUUUACUGCUGUGACGUCAGCAGAGAGCAGUUUGUUUCCAGAGACAUCCUCCCCCCAGGAAUGGUGACAGCCUCACCGGCAUGGAGACGCAGGGUGCUUCGGGGACCUGGCCACGGCACCGUCGCAGGUCCUCACAGUGUGUGUUCCAGAGGUGACAAGGGCUUCUCCACCCACAGAAGCCUCCCCCUGGGGAGGACUCACACAGACCCAUCCUAGAAGAAAAUGGGCUAUCAGUAAGUAGACACCAUGGAAGAUGGGCCAGGCUGGGUGGCUGUGGGUCCCACACCCAGGUCCUGACCCUGUAACCCACUCCUUCUUCCCAGAUGUACCCACAGAGGGGUCCCCACCACCCAGCUGCCCUCAGCAUGGCCCCUGAGGGCAGAGCUGACCUCCUGCUUCCAUCCCUAGCUAGUCUUGCAGAGAAUGGGGGGCAGGAAGCCGUGGAAGGUGGCUGUCGGGUCCCUUCACACACUGCAUCCAGUGGCCCUUGGGAAGGUGUUUUUCUGGGACAAGGGACAGACUCCUAUUUCCAGGGACAAAGAAACCCCUGAUCAUAAAGAUGGGGCAGGGGUGGGGAGGUCCAGGGACCAUUUCUGGCUGCAUUUGGAGUCCUGCCUUAAAUCUGGGUGCUCAUCACAGCAGAAAGCUUUCCUGGGGCUCUUGCUCAGAUGCAGCUGUCAGAACAAGCUGUGAAACAAAAGGGAUCAUGGCUCUGCAGGCGGGUCCCAGCACCCACAGAGGAACCGGCAGCUAAGGAUCCCAGAUGACCAUGCCCAUCAUCUAUCCUGUGCUUGUAAGCAGAGCCAACUCAGUUUCCAACCCCUGCCCCCCACCACUGCCUCUUCCCUCCGAGGGGCCUGAACUGCUGUGGACACACAGAGUGGGUCGGGCAGGAAUGCCCUGGUCCAGCUCUCUGCCGAGGAAGCCCUUCUCACUGCAGUUGACACCUCCCUCCUGCUUCUGAGCCAAGUAGAGUUUCCCAUCCUCCACAUGACAGAGGAGCCAGCUUCAGACCUACCAGGUGUGGGAAUUGAUAGAAACAGGCAUUUAGACCACUGACUUGCAAACCCUUUUAGCCCCCAAAUCGUUUCCCCUUGAUAAUGUUGGACAAAGGGACAGAAUGUCCAUCAGGUGGGUGAGUGUCACUACCUGUGCACAGGCUCCAGUCCGCGUUAGGUGCCUGGACACUCCCUCCCCACUGUCCCUUUCUACCACUCUGGACAAACACAGGGUGAUGGCUGGGGCGCACCUGUCCCCUGCCCCUCCCUUCUCCAGGGCUCAGAGAACUUCUCCUCCCCAGGUAGACCACAGGGCUCUGGCGCUGUCCUGGAGAGGUCCGGGGAUGUCAUUGCUCAGCGCAUGCAGGCAGGGCCUCCCCAGGGGUCCUGAGAACAUCCACAGAGCCCCUAGCACCCCAUUCACACCAGAUCGGCUCACUAAGGCUCCUGGGGGAGGGGUUACCUCCUGCCACUAGCUGCCAAUCCCCAGAACCCUGAGACAAUAGGUGUCUGGGAGUGUUGACCCAAGAAGAUCUCAGCCACAAUUAGCCGGGCCCCUUGUCACUGCCCACUAAAUGUUCAUUCUACAACUGUUAUGAAAGUGCUUAAAAAAAAGACCAGCAAAGCCUAACUCCAGGGACUGAGCAGCUGCCCGCACGCGGGCCGCCAUGCCAAUCCCACUGCUGAUGGGGUGACGCAGUUGCUACCCAGUGGCUUCUCAGGGUCCACGUGGGUAGGCGCUCUCUGGGUUUUUGCUUAAUUUGGGACUUUUUUUUUCUUUCCCUGCGUGUAACAUUUAUAAAUGUCACAGUGUGCCCGGGAUGUGCUGUACCGGAGGCGUGUCCUCUGCAAAGGUGUUGGGCCCUGCUCCCACCUGCUUGCCCAGGUUGUUACGGCCCAUCUUGACCCAUCUUGCUGGAAAAAAGGGGUUCCAGCCCAGCCCCAGUGCUCAUGAGCCACUCAGAUCUGUGUCACGCUGGGCACCCAAGUAACAGCGAGCUUCUCAGCCUGGCUGACAGCUGGUCCCGUGGUGACAGUGACAGGCCUACCGUAUCUGCCCCUCCCCAGUGACAGGCCUACCGUAUCUGCCCCGCUCCAACCCCGGCCCGAGGCCCAGCUCCUCAUUAACACAGCCCCUUCUGGCCCUGCAGGCUGGUCUCUGCCCCAGCCCUGGGCCAGCCUUAGGGGGAGGCAGACGUUCCUGGGGCAGGCAAGGGCCACAGCCCGGCCUAGAGAAGGGGUGAGGUGACCCACCUACACUGCCAAGGUCAGGGCUCCCACCGACCGAACCCCGAGAGGACGUACUGCGUGCACCGCCUGUGUGUGCGCUCACGUGGCUGUGUUGGCGGGACGUUCUCUCGUGGAGUUCUCUCUCCUUCUUCACCCUAAGUGUCAGACGCCAGACCCACCAGCUCUGUCCUGGAAAUGUUCCUAAGCCUCUGUAGUGACAGAAGCUCAUGGGCUGGGGUGGGGACGGCCACGCUCGGGGUCCCUGGUUGGGGGGCAAGGGGCUUUUGCUUUCUUUGUUUCUUUACUUAUUUUUGGCUGUGCUGGGUCUUCAUUGCUGCACAUAGGCUUUCUCUAGUUGCGACGAGUGGGGGCUACUCUUCGUUGAGGUGUGAGGGUUUCUCACUCCGGUGGCCUGUUGUUGCAGAGCAGGGCCUCCAGGGUGCAUCGGCCCUAUAGUUGUGGCGCACGGGCUCAGGUGCUCUGCAGCAUUUGGGAUCUUCCCAGACCAGGGAUUGAACCCGUGUCCCCUGCAUUGGCAUGAGGACUCUUAACCAUUGGACCACCAGGGAAGCUCCCUGGUUUUUUCUUUCUUGACAGAGCAGUUUCCCUGUAGCAGGUGAGUUGAUGGUGAGAAGCAGGGCCCUGAUGGGAGCCAUCCACUUAACAAAUGGAACCCGCUCAGCCCUGAUGGAUGGCUUUGCCGGCUCGUAAAACUCCAGAGGAAGUCGAAUUCGGGUUCUCAAAACCUUGGAGAUACUCCUUGAAUUUAUUAUGUGAUCUGAUAAAUUAUUGAAUCCCAGUCCUCACGGAUCUGGAACAGGCCUGGCAGGCAGGGGUGACACUCUGAGUCCUGAGGGUCGGGGACUCCCCUGCUGAGAGUUACGGUUCCCCGAGAAAUGCUCUUCCGGUAACUUGGGCUGGAAAUCUCAAAUCCCAGGGAAUCUUUCCCGAGGUCACAGGGAAGCCUGAGCCUUCAGGGUGGUCUUUGGGACUCUUGGUGACUCUCAGCCUGGGGUCUCAGGUAUUUCACUGACUAGCCCUCCCUGGAGAAUUUCUCCAAUUUCUUUUGAAAAUGAGCCUGUGCGAGGCAGCAUCCUUGCCGCAUUGUCCCCCCACCCCUUGCAUGUGGGUAGGACCAGCCACUGUGAUGGGGACUCAUUCCCAAGAUUAGGCUGUUACUCUUUCAAAUGCAAGUUCAUCAGAAGGAAUAUUCUGCAGGGUGGGUCAGGCCUAAUCAGGUGAGCCCUUUAAAAGGAGAAGCAUCCUGCCACAAUUUCAAGGAGCCUAGAAGUGACCUCAGCCCCAGCCACACCUGCUUUCAGCCCAGGGAGGCCCUGAGCAGAGGAACCACACUGGGCUUCUGAGCCUCAGGGACUGUGAGAUGAUAACUGGGUGGUCAUCUGUCCUGCAGAGCCGAAAAUGGAAACAAAACUGAAUCUUAAACUGUAAAAUGUAGGGGACAGUUCAAGCUGCGUCCAUGGGAUAACGUGUGCAGCUGGUCUCUGCGUCCUCGGCCCCUUCCAUCUCGCUGGGGCUGCUGGCUGUGUUGAGAAGGAUGCCAAGGUGCACCGGGCUCCGUGGAAAGGGCAUGGCUUGGCAGGGAUGCCUUGUGGGUGGUGGCACAUGGGCCCUAUAUCCAGGCUUGGCUGGACUGAAGGCUCACAGUUUGUGGUGGUGUAUGGUAGUCUGCUACAGAGAUUUCCCCAGCAGAUGCUUCCUCCCACCCUCACCCCAGGACUGGGAGAGAACAGCAGAUCCCAGGUGUCUCUGGAUCUGGCUCUGUCACUGAGGUGAUGGACAGUCAAUUCUGUGUCCUGCCCCAAGCUGGGAACCACCGGGGCUGCUGGCCCUGUCCAGGGUGCCGUGAGGAGCCCUUGUUACCUCCCCAUUCCCCCAUUUAUGAUGUGGUGUAGGUCCCCCCUGGUCCACCGCCCCUUCCCCUAAGAUCUGUCAUUAUCCCCAUCUCCUCCCAGACGAUGACACCCCACCCCCCUCUCCGCGCUGAGCUGACCUCACCUAGAUUUUUGAGAUUGUCAAUCAACUAGCUGGUGCUGGGCUGGGGUCAUUGUCUAAUGGGACAGGAUCCCUGCAGCCACGGGGCUGAGGAGGGGUCAACCCAAAGGCCCACUGCAGUGCAGGGAGUCGUUUCUGCAGUGCAUUUUACCCAGGACUAGCUGCAGCCCCCUCUGAGGCCUGCCCCUGUGUGGGGAGCCCCCGGGGCUGCCACCCCCGAGGCAGCAUCUCUGAGCCCCAGGAGUGACCUUCGCCAAGGCUGCGAAGCCCGCAGCCAGCUUUGCUGAAGCACCAUGCGUUCACAGUUAUGAGCUAUUUUAUUGCCCAGUCAGUAAAAAACCUUCUGAUUAUGUCAUUGCAGAGGCAGGCGAAUGCCAAAAAAUAUAAAUUUUCUUCCGUCCACCACUGACCCCUCCGCCUUCACGCCGGCCUCGGUUCUGGUUCCUUCCCUGGGUUUUCUUUAAUUAGUGAGAUGCAGGACUGUGCCUGGUUGCCCCCAGGGCUCCUUUCUGGAGGCCAGGAACAGGGGCAGGGCGG